rnacentral:tRNA from 11 species
GGGGGUGUAGCUCAGCUUGGUUAGAGCGCCUGCCUGUCACGCAGGAGGCCGCGGGUUCGAGUCCCGUCACUCCCGCCA